UCUUCCCAUGGACGCAGUCUGAUGGAGCACGCCGCGUGAGUGAAGAAGGUUUUCGGAUCGUAAGGCUCUGUUAUUGGUGAAGAAAGAUAGAGGUAGUAACUGGCCUUUAUUUGA
rnacentral:rRNA from 1 species